rnacentral:tRNA from 1 species
UGGGGAUUCGUCUAGUGGUAGGACAGCGGACUCUGGAUCCGUUAGCCGAGGUUCGAAUCCUCGAUCCCCAGCCA